rnacentral:misc_RNA from 1 species
UAUUAUCAACCGCUCCCGGCUUUUGUAGUUGGGUUUGGCGGAUUGGAUAUGGAGGUUUGCAGGCACUUUUAAAGUGGUCAGCUCCUCUGAAAUGCAUUAGCGGAACCGUUUGCAAUCUGUUAACUGGUGUGAUAAUUUGUCUACGCUAGUGGAUUGCUCUCUGCUUGUUCUGCUUCUAAUAGUUUCCCACUGAGGAGACAGCUUAUAAUGAAC